rnacentral:rRNA from 1 species
UACAGAGGUCUCGAGCGUUAGGCGGAAUCACUGGGCUUAAAGCGUGUGUAGGUGGAUGCCUAAAGUACCUUGUGAAAAUCCCCACGGCUUUAAACCCGUGGGAAACUGCUUUGGUAUACUGGGGUGUCUUUGAGUCACUCAGGGGGCGAGCGGAACAAAAUGGUGGAGCGGUGAAAUGCGUAGAUAUCAUUUGGAAACGCCAAUGGUGAAAAAACAGCUCGCUGGGGGGUGCACUGACACUGAGACACGAAAAGCCAGGGGGAGCGAAACGGGG